ensembl:rRNA 5S_rRNA 5S ribosomal RNA
CCCAGUGCGCUAUAGCAGCCUGAGGACGCCCCAGCCCAGAAGCUAAGCAGGGUUGGUCCUGGUUGGGGCUUGGAUGGGAGACCACCUGGUGAGACUGGGGGCUUCAGGCU